rnacentral:rRNA from 1 species
UACAGAGGUCUCAAGCGUUGUUCGGAUUCAUUGGGCGUAAAGGGUGCGUAGGUGGCGAGGUAAGUUUGAUGUGAAAUCUCCGGGCUUAACCCGGAAACUGCAUUGAAUACUAUCUUGCUUGAGGGUUGGAGGGGGGACUGGAAUACUUGGUGUAGCAGUGAAAUGCGUAGAUAUCAAGUGGAACACUAGUGGCGAAGGCGAGUCCCUGGACAACUCCUGACACUGAGGCACGAAAGCUAGGGGAGCAAACAGG